UAUCCCGCUGCUCAGAGGCGCUCCGGCUCCAUUCACUCCAGAGUCCCGCACUGUCAAGGACCCGCGCAGACCGGUGCAAGGCGAGCUCUGGAUAGCACACACAAAAAAAGGAAGACUUCUCUCUUGUGAUUUUCCAAAAGGAUCUGCGCGAUUGGAUUACAUUCUUCUAGGACUAUUAAAUACUAUCAAAGAAAAAAAAACUAACCGUGCGUCUAUAUUCUGGUUAUUCUGACGGCCGCGCGUCUUGUUUGAUAUUCCAGUGAACUGGGCUGAAGUUGGGAGCCGCUCGUUUGUUAAAGGGUGAAGGACAAGUGCAAUGCUCUUCAGACCUGUCCGUGCCUGAGGAGCUGCGUAUCGAGCAGCCACGCAGAUCUCCUUGGAGAGGACGCGGUCCAAUGUGAAUACCCAGAGACAACGUCCAGCCACUUCAGCUUUUUUUUUUUUUUUUUUUUUUUGCUUUUUUUGCUUACAGCUGCAAACAAGUGCACGGAGUUCGACCGAGCCCGCUGAGCAGCUCGGACACCCCGGUUUUACCCCCUCCCUAGAGGGGAUGGUUGUGGGUCCUGUGGGGCCAGGAGCGAUUCUGCGGCUCCUACAGAUUAGCACCUUUUUCUCGUUCGGGGUUCGAUCUGAAUCAAAGGGAGAUGAGAGCCGCACUUUGUUACUUCCUGCUGUGGACGACGUACCUGCUGCUGGCCACCUCUGAGGAAGUGGAGUUUCCCCAGGAGCUGAUAGACAGACUGUCCCACAGUGAAAUCCACAGCAUCAGCGACCUCCAGCGGCUACUGGACAUUGACUCCGUAGGUACGGGAAACAAUGUCAUCGAGGAACCCAAGCACCACAAGCACCACAACCAGCAUAAGAACUACUCCCGUCAACACGGUUACUACAGCGACCUGAAGAGCUCGCAGCUCCACAGCCGACGCAAGAGGAGCAUCGUAGAGGAGGCGGUCCCGGCGGCGUGCAAGACGCGGACGGUGAUCUACGAGAUCCCCAGGAGCCAGGUGGACCCCACGUCUGUCAACUUCCUGAUAUGGCCGCCCUGCGUGGAGGUGAAACGCUGCACAGGCUGUUGCAACACGAGCAACAUGCGCUGUCACCCGUCCCGCAAGCACCAUCGCACCGUUAAGGUGGCAAAGGUGGAGUACGUGAAGAGGAGACCCAAGCUGAAAGAGGUCUUUGUGCGGUUAGAAGACCACCUGGAGUGUGUGUGCACGUCACAACAUCAUGUGGUGGAGCACUCAGAUGCAGAAAUAGGCCACCGUAGGGCUAAAGGUAAAAAAAGAAAACCUAAAAAGCUAAGACCCAGCAAGGAUUUAUUGGCGACAUAAUAAAAGUUGCACUCAGUACCCAAAGUCCACUGAAGAGCUGUGAAGGUUGAACAGUGGACGUGAGGUGAGAGCAAUCGGAGCAAACGACUUCAGCGUGGGAGGGAACUAAGAAAAAAGGAUGUUUUUAGCAACAGGAGGCCCGCUCAGUCCUCUUCCACACCGCCAAUGCGACCUUCAUUUGAAAAAAAGGACAAACUUGAGACUGAAAACAAACACCUAAAAGAAUGCCAAAUGGAACGUCACCUGCCCGGUCACAACUGAUCCCUGCCACUGAUUGAAAGAGGAAAGGAAAAGAGAAAGAUGUGGUAUCUCGGCCAGGGCAGACAGAAGCUGAAGGGAGACGAUGAAAGGGAUUCGCGUUGGACAUUUUGAGACUUUGUUGGACAAGAUGCACAACAAAAACAGCUAUAAAACAGUUGGAUCAAACUUUGGUUGGGUUCCUGUGAUCAGACUCCAAAAAACGGCGGCGGGUGACCUCCAGCCGGGCGACAUAAAAGUUCCCUGCCCCGAUAGAAUGACUCUUUCUCACAAAGUAAGAAAAGAGCGAGACAAACGGAAGUGUUUUUUUUUUUCUUCCAAAAACUCUGUGGAGGAUGAAACAUUUUUAGUUGUUGGAUGUUGCCAAGAGAAGAUCUUCUCUGAGACUCUUGGUGGUCUGUGACUUUGCCCAGUUGCUAUGUACAGUUCAAUUUGAAAAGGAAGAUGUGCCGCUACUUAAAAACUAUUUAUAUGUGUGGACGUUUGAUUUCUGUCUCUUCCAGAACAAAAGAAAGAACAAAAGAUUUUUUUAAUGAUUUUGGAGACAUGCGAAGAGUUCUGUGUGGUUCAGUUGUUUGUAACCAUCAGUAUCACGAUCUCAACGUCGUUAUUUUUAGUCAAUGUUAUUGUUUUCAUCCAUGUUUCUUAUUAUAUUACAGUAUAUCUGAAUGAUGUCAAGUCUUGUAUAUGGUUUGGAUACAUGUGUGCGAGGAGAUAUGAGAGUCAGUACAGGAAGAUGCUUUAUUUUUGUUAUGAAAUAUAUUAAGCUUACUUAUAUCCAAGCAGGAAUUAUGUUUAUUUCGUUUUUGUGAUCCCCGUAUUUAAUCCAGUGGAUAAGAUGCAAAACUGUGGGAAGGAGGUGGAAUUCGACAAGGGAGAGAAAUCUGCCACUGCCCAGUUUUUUAUAUUCACAAAAUUAUGCAUACAGCACAUUAAAGUAUGUUCAUGCCAAUCACAAAAAAAGAUGUUCGAGCAACUUUAGCGUACGUGUAUGCCAGAAUGACCCCUAAUUUAUCCCCUACAUGAGGCCACACACACACUCCUAACAUUGCUGAUGAAGAUACCUGCCUUUGCCUUUGCUCAUUGUUCCCGCAAUGAGCAAAGUCCACCUUAAAGAGUGAAUGAGCGCGCAAAGCCAAUCGACAAGCCCAUGAAUGGGCUCCUUGUUUGGUUACGCUUUACCCUUCUGACGACAGGAGAGCAAAUCACUGGCCACUCCACCCUGUGAAGAUACUGGCACCGUAAGCAGACUCAUUCCAUCAGGAUAGAUAGAUUCAUUCUAAGGGGGUGGCCCAACGUCAGCACAGUGCUGCCCUGAACCCACUGACGGAACAGUUACAUCAUUACAUGAUGCAUGUGGAACCGGUCAAAAACAACGGUGGUCUUCCGUGUGCAAAUGAGGGAUUCAAAGACGAAAAGAGUGAGCUAUGCUGGGAAAUGAGUCAAUUCAAAGUCAAGCGAGAAAGGUUGAAUUGAAACACGGCAGAUAACACACCGUCCAUCUGUGAAUUGAGCAACAAUGAGUUGACUGGUGCUAUAUUUAUAAAGCUGCUGUUCCAUCACCGCUUGCAUUCACACCCAUGUAAGAUAGUGUUCUCAGUAACGCAGGGACCAUGCUUAGAGAUAUUUAAAUAAAUAAAAUGCCAUUACACUAAACCUUUAUUCCUUUUCUUUUGGCCUUCCAUUGGAUAAAGACAGCAAUAAUCAUAAUUUAUAUAUUUAUGUUUUCAACAAUAAAUAUAUUUCUGCUUA